AAGAAAGCAAGAAAAGACCAGAGCGACUUUAUAGGCUACUGCCCUAUUCCUUUCAACGAGACCUCUACAAUCACAAGUAAGUCAUGUACAGGACACACCAGACAGGACCCACAGAACCUAAAGCCAUCAUCUUGUGUGGUGUGCACCCCAGGCUGGCAAACUUGGAUAAGCUGUUCUUUGUCCUUGAUGUGACGUUCCUCAAGGACCAACCACCUGCCUGGCUCAGAACCAGUCCUGCCUGGCCCUUCUUGCCCCUCACUGUGCUGGGUAACACAGGGUCACAAACUAUAACAGGCUGGAAAAGUAAAUGAAAGAAGUUGUCAGUGAGUUUCAAGAUAGUAGGUAACCGGCUAUGCAGCCACAAAGACAAGAAAAGGCACACAAAAAGGGCAAGGACAUCAUUUCUAACCAGUAUGCCUUCCUACCAUUGGGGCCCAGGAUAGUGGAAGUGGCUUCUAGCGUUAUACCUGCCUCCAUAAGGAUACUGAGUGAGUGCUGCACUGUCCCCCUAGGCACCCUGGCUCCCUAUUUAGCCAUAAUAUGGAUACAUUUAUUAAUAGGCUACACCCGCAUGCACUGUAUUUUAUAUGCUAAUGUACACAUGCCCUGUUUUUUAAUGUAAUAAUGCACUGUUGUGUGUUUUAAAUUAUUGUGUGCUUGAUGUAUCUGACAGCACAAAUUCAAUUCCUUCUGGGAAAAUAAAGUUAGUCACACAUGUUAUGUUUUGCUAUGAAGUGUUUCCAAUAGCCUUAACUUGAAUAUCGAAUCCAUUUGUCAAAUGAGUGACACAACAUGACUGUGCAGUUUUUGUCUCCGCCACAGGCUAUUUACUUGUGUACAAGACACAUUCUUAUUGCUUUUCCAUGCUGGCAACACUUGUCUUCUGUUGUAGAGGGUCCAAGUGGGAGUGAGGUCAGUGAAGAUGAGGGAGGUAAAGCAGGGGCAGGAGGAGUUGGCAGUGUAAGCCUAUAUGUAAGCUGAGCAGGAUGUGUUUAAGAGAAUGAAAUGGAGAGUUAGAUGUAUGAUAUGGGAUAUUCUAUGCUGAUAAAUGGUGAAUUCCUGAUCUACCUUGACCUAUUUACAAAUUGGUUUAAAUAAGGUUAGGUUAAGGGGGAUUAGGGCUAUAUGGUUAUGUGCUUAAUAACCAAAUCCCAUACUUUACUCUUGAAAUAUAACUUUCUAAAAAUGUCUACGUUAUUCUCAAAAUUGACUUUGCCUAAAUUAAAUGUUUUGUUUAUUCUCAAAAUAUUGGCACUAAAAUGUUUUUUUUUUUAAAGUACUCCUAAUGCAAGAAGAAUAAAUAUCCAUGUACCACCACCCAUAGAUUUCUUUAUCUUCACAUGGCUCUAAUACUCUCCCGUAAAACACAGCCCUUAUUUGAAGUGUUUCUAAAAUCCCCAAUUGGGAAAAACAAAUGGUGGAAAAACGAUUUUGAACCAUUUCAGUGUUUGACAACUAUGUUAUUACUCAUACUGUGCUACUCUAUUGAGAGUUUUGGCUAGCUAUUGUCCAAUUGAAUGGCUCAUCAAGGCAUGAACUGUGACCAGCCUCCAUCACUACUGUAAGCCCAGUAUUCUAAUAAAAAUAUAGAAUCUAGAGUA